rnacentral:lncRNA from 1 species
UUAAAAAAUAAUGCAUGACCAAGCAAAUUUUUAGAGUUGAUAUAAGUAUCACCUAAGUUUUAUGAGGAAAUGUUUUGUAAAUUGUAAUACAGGAUCAUUUACCUCCACAUUUUAAAGGAUGAAAGUUGGCUUAUAGUUUGGACCACCUAAUUAACUGUUUAAUUUAGUAAGGGAUAUUUCCAGAGUUAAACAAAAAAUACAAAUGCAGAUGUCUGAAGGAACAAGGGAGGUUCACACAUGAAUGAAACAGGUCUUGAUGAAAUAAUUCAGGGAGUGGCAGCCUUGUGGCAAAGUGGAGGGUGUAUGCCCCAUUAAAAGUGGGCAACCCAUUCUAGGUUUUUCAAGAAAAGCUUGGACUCUGGGAAUUUAUGCAAAUUUCACUGAUUUGAAAAUGUUGAUAAGUAAACCGAUGCCCACGUAAACAUGUUUUAAGUUCAAAUUCAGCUUUUAAACUAAAAACCUAUAAUUUUUACAUGAGGCUUUGUAUCCUUAUCAAAUAAUGUCCAAAAAACAAACUUAUCUAUGUUUAAUUACCCUCAGAUAUAGGAACAAUGGAUAAAGACAAUAGCCAGCAUUGUUCUAUUGACUUACUGUAUUCCAGGAACCCAGUGUGCUUACAGUUCUAUAUUCAUUUUGUCAGUUGAUUCUUAUAAGAAAAUUUUAAGAAAAAUUAUUAUUGUAACCCCCAAUUUCAGAAAGAAGACAGAGGAUUGGAAAGUACUUAAGAUUGUAAUACUGUAAAUGAAUCAAGACACAAACGAGGUCAAAGUCCACAGUAAAUAUUAGGUGUUCAGUAACAGAUGAUUGCAGUUUAGUUUAAAAGAGCAAUGCUUCCCAUUCUGAGGUUCCUGAUUCCCUGUCUGUCCCCUAGUUUAAAAGACUAAUAGAAAACUAUUUCCUAUUAGCAGGGAAAGGGAGUUUGCUAGAAUCAUCUUUCAAAUUAUCAAAUCAUAUAAACUAAUUAGGGAUAAUUGUAAGAAGAAAAGUUGUAAAAUACAAUGCAGAAAUUAUUUUUUAUAUUUAUUUUUAGUUGUGGUUGGACACAAUAUCUUUAUUUUAUUUAUUUAUUUUUAUGUGGUGCUGAGGAUUGAACCCAGAGCCUCGCAUGUGCUAGGUAAGCUACUGCUGAGUCACAAUCCCAGCUCCAAUGCAGAAAUUAUUAAAGUGACAAAUAUUUUACAUCAAACCUUUAUAUGUUACAUAAAGAACUACAUAUCCGAAAGUAUAUUUAAGCUUUAAAAUAUUUGUUUGACAAAACUAUUAGUAGCAAUUUAUGGACCUUCAAAUAUUUUAGAUUUAAUAGAUAAAACAUAUUUUUCAAAGAAUGUAAGCACCAAAAUAUUAUGCUGAAAAGACUGUUGAAAAAAGGAAGUGCAGGAUGAUAUUACAUUUUGCAAUGUGACCAAAAUCUCUUCCAAUAGAUACAUGUACUAAG